GUUGUCGGACACUUCAAUCCAUAUGUGUUGGUGUGGAUUGGGGUGGAAUUUAGUUUAAAUUUCUCUCCAGUCCACCUUAACCUAUGUGGAUUGAUGUGAAUCCAACU
rnacentral:pre_miRNA from 1 species